rnacentral:misc_RNA from 1 species
GGAGGUGAAACUAGACCCAAAAUAUCUCAUUUGUCAUGAAGAAACCCUACCCAAAUUCUAUCCAUAAGUUGACCAAUUUACUGUCCCAAUCCAGAUAUCCAAACACUGAACCCAGAAAAAUGACCAAAUGUUCAUUUGGCCAUAACUCCCUCUAGACAGGUCCAAAUGACCUGAAUUUUAUACCAUUGGAAAGAUUAAACAUAGGACUACAACUUUUAUUGAGAACACCAAGCUCAGAAAUACCUCUAACCAAAUGAAAUCUUUGACCCAAGUUAGGUCACUAAACUGACCAGAAUAGAUUCUGCCCAGAAUUUCCUAGACCUACCCGACCAGUUUUGGCAAAAUAGCUAUAACUUAGUCCAUAAAAAUCCAAAUGCAAUGAAACCAAUGGAAAAGUUUUUAUAAGACAUAGGUCUACAAUAUUGGUCUUUUGACCAAAACCCAGAACCCAAAGGAACUAGGUCAAAUGUUUAGUAAAAUUUAGCAUAUCAAAACCUGAAGUUUGACCAAACUACACUUGACCCCAAAACACUCAAUUAGUCAUAUCUACCAUUAGAAAACUCCAAUUAGGAUGAACCAUACUGAUCUGAAACCCUAAGAAACAGGGUUCAACUUUGUUUUAGACAUGGUCUUCAAACUAUGAACAUAAGAACCAUAAAAUGGAGGUCAAAGCUACUGACCUGAACAUGGACCCUAAAGACACAGGGCACAUGAGUCCAGGCCAGUGAUUUAAUCAUAAUUAAUUCUACAAACCUUGAAAAUUUGUAAUUAAAAUUUCUGAGGGACUAUAAGACAUAGGGUAACAAC